AUUGAACGCUGGCGGCAUGCCUUACACAUGCAAGUCGAACGGCAGCACGGGAGCAAUCCUGGUGGCGAGUGGCGAACGGGUGAGUAAUAUAUCGGAACGUGCCCAGUCGUGGGGGAUAACGUAGCGAAAGCUACGCUAAUACCGCAUACGAUCUACGGAUGAAAGCGGGGGAUCGCAAGACCUCGCGCGAUUGGAGCGGCCGAUAUCAGAUUAGCUAGUUGGUGGGGUAAAAGCUCACCAAGGCGACGAUCUGUAGCUGGUCUGAGAGGACGACCAGCCACACUGGAACUGAGACACGGUCCAGACUCCUACGGGAGGCAGCAGUGGGGAAUUUUGGACAAUGGGCGCAAGCCUGAUCCAGCAAUGCCGCGUGCAGGAUGAAGGCCUUCGGUUGUAAACUGCUUUGUACGGAACGAAACGGUGAGCUCUAAUAAAGCUUGCUAAUGACGGUACCGUAAGAAUAAGACACCGGCUAACUACGUGCC
rnacentral:rRNA from 1 species